rnacentral:rRNA from 1 species
UACGGGGGGGGCAAGCGUUGUUCGGAAUUACUGGGCGUAAAGGGCUCGUAGGCGGCCAACUAAGUCAGACGUGAAAUCCCCAGGCUUAACCUGGGAACUGCGUCUGAUACUGGAUGGCUUGAAUUCGGGAGAGGGAUGCAGAAUUCCAGGUGUAGCGGUGAAAUGCGUAGAUAUCGGAAGGAACACCUGUGGCGAAAGCGGCUCACUGGACCAUUACUGACGCUGAUGCACGAAAGCUAGGGGAGCAAACAGG